rnacentral:rRNA from 1 species
GACGAAGGGGGCUAGCGUUGUUCGGAAUUACUGGGCGUAAAGCGCGUGUAGGCGGUUGUCCAAGUUGGAUGUGAAAGCCUUGAGCUUAACUCCAAGAAAUGCAUUCAGGACUGGAUGACUAGAGGACCGGAGAGGAUAGUGGAAUUCCCAGUGUAGUGGUGAAAUACGUAGAGAUUGGGAAGAACACCAGUCGGCGAAGGCGGACUCA